AACCCAUGGUGAGGGCACCUUCUCAGUAAAUCUUUGUGUCUCUCUCAUGCGUCAUAAAGGGUUUCUAAAUCCAUCUACACAAAACAAGAGAUAUCAUUCCUUAGUUU
rfam:Gossypium arboreum cultivar AKA8401 contig_244_3, whole genome shotgun sequence.